CCCUGGCCACGUCGAGAUCGAGAAUUGAAGGUCCGCUCGUCUCUCCUCUCCAAAUCGGCUCGAGGAGGCGAUCUCCAAAACCCUAACCCUAAACCUCGCCCUCUCUCCAGCGUCGGGAUCGAAGGAAGGAGAAGGAGGGAAGAAACCCUAACCCUAAAUCGUCUUUCGGGGAAGAGAGGGGAUGGGAAAGAAGAAGAAGAGGCCGUCGAAGGUGUGGUGCUACUACUGCGAUCGGGAAUUUGACGACGAGAAGAUCCUGGUGCAGCACCAGAAGGCGAAGCACUUCAAGUGCCACGUCUGCCACAAGAAGCUUUCCACCGCUGGGGGAAUGGCCAUCCACGUUCUCCAGGUCCACAAGGAGACUGUCACCAAAGUUCCUAAUGCUAAACCGGAUAGAGAAUCAACAGAUAUUGAGAUUUUUGGAAUGCAAGGAAUUCCUCCUGAAGUCUUAGCAGCUCAUUAUGGUGAAGAUGAAGAAGCCUCAGCAAAGGUGGCCAAAGUGGAAGUACCACCUAAUAUACCUGUCAGUGGUGUGGUACCUGGUCCUUUAGGUGUUGGAUUUCCACCAGCACCAACUUAUGGUGCAGUGCCACCAGUUUACAAUACGGCAUUGCCGAUGCAGCCUCCUAGUUGGCCAGUUCCACCUCGGGCACAAUCUUGGUAUCCACCACAGCCACCAAUUCCAGUUCCUCCUGCACCAAGAGUUCUGCCACCACAACCCUUGUUUCCUAUUCAGAAUGUGACUCCUUUGACAUCCACUGCUGCUCCUGGACUUCAGUCAUCAUUCCAAGUUGGUCCACCUGGUCUGCCAUCAUCCACACCACCUUCGGUAUCCCAACCAUUGUUUCCUAUCACUAGUACCAGUAAUGCACCUGCCCAAAGUUCUCCUUUUCUGGCAAGUACACUGCCUGCGACAGUUGCAUCAAGCUCUCCAACAGUAUACAAGGGUGCAGCUGACAUGAAUUCUAUAUCCAACACUCCUGCAACAAGUGGAUACCCUGCCCAAAGCAAUCAAGGUGGUGCGCCCUACACAAAUUCACAUAUGUACGCCUCUGGUCCUAACACUGGUGGGCCCUCGAUUGGCCCUCCACCUGUGAUAUCUAACAAAGCCCCUGCUACCCAACCAGCCACCAAUGAAGUCUACUUGGUUUGGGAUGAUGAGGCAAUGUCCAUGGAGGAAAGAAGAAUGUCUCUGCAGAAGUAUCAGGUGCAUGACGAAACUAGCCAGGUAAGUUAUAAAUGCCAUUUGUUUAUUCAUUCUGAUGGAUGUGCAAACUGGUUUGCAGUUGCAAUUGGAUGGAUAGACAAUUUAUUUUUUCUUUCCAAGGUUUUCAUUGAUACUACUAUAAGGUACUUCUGCGAUUUGUUUAUGCCAGUCUGGGUAUAUAAUGAAAUAGUUAGAACAUUUAGUCUGUAAAUUAAGCAGUAAGUCAUAAAGCCCUUUAAAAUUUAUGAAUAUUGGCCAAAUGGUAUUUCCAUAUUUUUGUUUAAAUGUGCGGUUGAUGGGAAAUUUGUUUGAUCUUUUAUUCCCAUCCUUUGCUUUGCUUGCAAAACUGCCAUUGUUGAGGUAUCAAAGGUCCAGUAGGUAUUUCACGUUACUCUUGCUUUUAGUUAGUGUUACAAAUCUGACAAGCUUGUGCUGCAAAUGACUCGAGGGUUCGCAACCUAUCAACGGCCAUGCGAAAAUGUGUAUGUAUUGUGCUUUAAUUGAAAUUUUUAUUACUUAUUUUGGUAUUCAUUCUCCCUAUUGCUUCUUAACAAGCGUGGGGGUUUGGGUGGUACAAGAAUAUAUGCCGGCAAGCUUUUGUCCAUUCAUAGCAUAUCUUGUUAUCUGUUUUUGAUCACGGUGUGCGACGAAAGUUUGGUACAGAUGAACUCUAUUGAUGCAGCCAUAGACAGAAGGAUAUCUGAAAGCAGACUUGCUGGUCGUAUGGCAUUCUAGUUGUUUUUCUGAAGCUGGAUGUCAGCCAGAUCCCGUCAAAGCAUUCCGUUCGAGGAGAAAUCCCUUGAACAUUGUUGACUCUUGGGAGGCACUGGUCAUCAGAUAGCCAGGUUUUUUUUUUUUUUUAAAAAAAAUGUGGAAGGCUGCGAUCUUGUUGAAUUAUAAAAUCCGUUCGUUAGGAGCUUGUUGAGUAAUUUAAUCUGUAUGUGUGUGGAGAGUUCUACAGUGAUUCUUUCUUUUCAAUGAUCUUUAGGAGUAGAGGUUCUCACCAUUCUGAGAAACUAACUAUUGUUGUUUUCUGUUAGGGAUCCUUCUUCAUGUAUGGUAUUGACAGUGAUUUGAAUUUCAUAUGCUAUAUACAUUGGAAUAUUUUUGUUGAUGU